rnacentral:rRNA from 1 species
GUAGGUGGCAAGCGUUGUCCGGAAUUAUUGGGCGUAAAGCGCGCGCAGGCGGUUUUUUAAGUCUGAUGUGAAAGCCCACGGCUCAACCGUGGAGGGUCAUUGGAAACUGGAGAACUUGAGUACAGAAGAGGAAAGCGGAAUUCCACGUGUAGCGGUGAAAUGCGUAGAGAUGUGGAGGAACACCAGUGGCGAAGGCGGCUUUCUGGUCUGUAACUGACGCUGAGGCGCGAAAGCGUGGGGAGCAAACAGGGAUUAGAUACCCUGGUAGUCCACGCCGUAAACGAUGAGUGCUAAGUGUUAGGGGGUUUCCGCCCCCUAAGUGCUGCAGCUAACGCAUUAAGCACUCCGCCUGGGGAGUACGGCCGCAAGGCUG